rnacentral:lncRNA from 1 species
UAGGCUUAAGGAACCAAUCAGACUUUCGGAGUAGCAGUCACCUUUUUUGUCUUUGUUGUUGUAGUCACACAAAUUUGUUCUUUUUGGUAUCGAAGACCUUGGCUUUAGUAGCCCUUUUGCUUUUCACUUUUCAUUUUCCCUAACUUUUGCCUGAACUCCUUCUUUUGAAUUGGUAGUCCAGCGGGAUGCCCUAACUUUUGCCUAAGCCAAUUGUUUUCAACCUUGGUCUUAGCGGGCUUUUCUUUUUGCUUCUUUCUUUUGAUUGGUCCCUUGAUAUCUUGAUUUUGAACAAAUCAUAUGACUCUGUCUUAAAUUGUUGAAAAGGGUUUUGUCUGCCUUAUCUCUUGAUGGAUGAGUGAUAACCAUUGUGGUUUCACACCCCUUUUUUAUCUCCUGAAGAAUGAAGGAUGACUAUUGCGGUUGAUUCUUAAAGGUGCAUAUCUUUAUGAAAUCUGAACACUUGGUCAAAUCAAAUGAAUACUACCCAUGCCCCAGGUUAANNN